rnacentral:ncRNA from 1 species
UAAAGGUUUGGUCCUAGCCCUUCUAUUAGCCGUCAGUAGGAUUACACAUGCAAGUAUCAGCACCCCGGUGAAGAUGCCCUCUUAAUCACCAACGAUAAAGAGGAGCGGGUAUCAAGCACACUAUACAGUAGCUAAAGACGCCUUGCCUAGCCACACCCCCACGGGAUACAGCAGUGACAAAAAUUAAGCCAUGAACGAAAGUUCGACUAAGCCAUACUAGCCUACAGGGUUGGUAAAUUUCGUGCCAGCCACCGCGGUCAUACGAUUAACCCAAGUUAAUAGACAUACGGCGUAAAACGUGUUAAGGAAAUUACCCACACAAUAAAGUUAAAUCUUGGGCUAUGCUGUAGAAAGCUUUAGCCCAGACAAAAAUAAACCACGAAGGUGACUUUAAAUGAUCCGACUACACGAUAGCUAAGACACAAACUGGGAUUAGAUACCCCACUAUGCUUAGCCCUAAACCUAAGUAGCUAAAUAACGAUGCUACUCGCCAGAGUACUACUAGCAACAGCUUAAAACUCAAAGGACUUGGCGGUGCUUUAUAUCCCUCUAGAGGAGCCUGUUCUGUAAUCGAUAAACCCCGAUAAACCUCACCAACUCUUGCUAAUACAGCCUAUAUACCGCCAUCUUCAGCAAACCCUAAAAAGGAAAUAAAGUAAGCAAAAUCAUAAAACAUAAAAACGUUAGGUCAAGGUGUAGCCUAUGAGUUGGAAAGAAAUGGGCUACAUUUUCUAGUAUAGAACAUCGACGAAAAUUUUCGUGAAACCGGAAAUAGAAGGAGGAUUUAGUAGUAAAUUAAGAACAGAGAGCUUAGUUGAAUUAGGCCAUGAAGCACGCACACACCGCCCGUCACCCUCCUCAAGUAUAAAGAUACAAUGCCCAAUCCUAUUAAUAAAUGUACACACACAUGAGAGGAGAUAAGUCGUAACAAGGUAAGCGUACUGGAA